GCGGCCGUGGCGAAGCGGUUAACGCAUCGGAUUGUGGCUCCGACACUGGAGGGUUCAACUCCCUUCGGCCGCCCCA
rnacentral:tRNA from 2 species